UACGAAGGGUGCAAGCGUUACUCGGAAUUACUGGGCGUAAAGCGUGCGUAGGCGGUUUGUUAAGUCUGUCGUGAAAGCCCCGGGCUCAACCCUGGGAAUGGCGAUGGAUACUGGCGAGCUAGAGUACGGUAGAGGAGAGUGGAAUUCCCGGUGUAGCAGUGAAAUGCGUAGAGAUCGGGAGGAACAUCAGUUGCGAAGGCGGCUCUCUGGACCAGUACUGACGCGAGGCACGAAGGCGUGGGGAGCGAACGGG
rnacentral:rRNA from 1 species